GUGGUCCAGACAGAAUGGGGCCAAGACAGUCGAUAGUCCAAAAGUAUCCAUGUCUGCGGGAUACUUCAGGCAUGGUGGGUAAAUGUAUUUAUUUUUUACAAAACAUUAGAUUUCAAAUGUAUUAGAUUUUCUGUGAUUUCCUAGCCUGGCUGACAGGACCCACGUGACUCACAGUGCAGGGAGAGCUGUGACCACACUGGUCUGGAAAGGAGGCUGAUUGUGAAUGCAAUAAUCGCAAAAAAAUUGUUGCGACAGGGUUUGAUUGGUUCUCACAAAUGUUUUUUGAGACAUUGUUUGGAUUUGAAAAUCCAACCAUUCUAAUAGAAAGGAGCGGCGCUGUAGGUGUUCGAGUGUGAAAGACACCGAGGAGAGCCAACCAAUAAAAGCACAGCCCACUUCAUUAGCAACACAUUGUGCUGACAACAUCGAAGAGCCGUUCCAGAUUGAGGUCAGGAGGGCUUUGAGAGUUAGGUGUUAAACUGUUAGCCAGAUUAAUGAUUAACUGCAAUGGAAAAGAUGUUUGUCUAGAUACAACAUAACAGAAUCUUAAGUCAUUUGUGGCUUAGAAACAGCAUUGGCUGUGGAUACGGGGGGAAGAUUUGGAUCUUAGCAAGUGUCAUACAUUUUUUGGAUAUGACUUCUACAUUUUAAACUUCGGACUGCUCAGGAAAACUUGGUCUUCAAGGACAAACUUUGUUUUGCAGGCCCAAGGUCUUCUCUUGGAGGUGCAGGUUGGGACCAACAUGGAUGAGUACCUGCACCAGGCGGAGGUGACGAGACACCACCCAUUUGUGUUGGCUCUUGGAGAAUGCUGACAUUUUGUUUACAGUAAUUAGUGGACGGGCAUUGGAGCAAGGUACACUGCUUGGGGCACUGGAUGUGUGAUUCAAGUCCUAUUAUGUGUUUUGAUAUCAACUUUCCCACUGUGACCAGCAUGGGAACUCCUGAAGACCACAGUGUAUCAGCUGCCAGGAAUAUAAUUUUUCACUGAACAAUGGUGGAUAAGUAUCUGCUCUUGUAUGUACUGUGAGAAGUGACCGGAGGAAGCAUUUUGGCCCACACCCCCUUUAGUCUGUUUGGACUGUUUGGGUCAUGAAAUAUUAUACAUGAAUUCUAAUAAUCAAUCCCAUCUGAUGAAAUCAUAUCUUGUGAGAAUUUGAAGUUGGAAGUUUACAUGCACCUUAGCCAAAUAUAUUUAAACUCAGUUUUUCACAAUUCCUGACAUUUUAAUUCCUAGAAAGAAUUCCCUGUCU